AACGAACGCUGGCGGCAUGCCUAACACAUGCAAGUCGAACGAGGCCUUCGGGUCUAGUGGCGCACGGGUGCGUAACGCGUGGGAACCUGCCCUUAGGUUCGGAAUAACUCCCCGAAAGGGGUGCUAAUACCGGAUAAUGUCUUCGGACCAAAGAUUUAUCGCCUCUGGAUGGGCCCGCGUUGGAUUAGCUAGUUGGUAGGGUAAAAGCCUACCAAGGCGACGAUCCAUAGCUGGUCUGAGAGGAUGAUCAGCCACACUGGGACUGAGACACGGCCCAGACUCCUACGGGAGGCAGCAGUGGGGAAUAUUGGACAAUGGGCGAAAGCCUGAUCCAGCAAUGCCGCGUGAGUGAUGAAGGCCUUAGGGUUGUAAAGCUCUUUUACCCGGGAUGAUAAUGACAGUACCGGGAGAAUAAGCUCCGGCUAACUCCGUG
rnacentral:rRNA from 1 species